rnacentral:misc_RNA from 1 species
UACACUGCCGUUUCCACCAAAAACCAAAAAUGAUUACUGCACAACCGGCCAAUGCCUGUAUACAUUAAUAAACCUACUCUCGAUGGCAGAUAUCGAGGUCAACUAAAUAAAUCCAUCAAUUCCUCUAGCCAACUACAGUAUCGAAAAUGAAACCAUGAAUGGACCAUACACAUGUUGUAUUCCUAGAUUAGGAUCUAACUACCUAGACCCAGCCAACACUUCCCUUGAAUCACUGCCACAAGACCGAGAGAUCACUCAGUACUAAUGUGAGAAUUUUUGCAACACAACGGAACUUUAAAAAAAAAAGAAAAGAUGAGGAUAUGCUGGCCACUAAAGUUUGUGAUUAAACACUCCAAGCACCCACAUCACCUUCAGGGUACAAACGGGUAUAUGUGAACAUUGUGGAUCUCAUGAAUCCACCAUUUCAUCUUGGAUCUCAUUGGGUGCAAUUAGACCAGGAAUAGAACGCAUCCGCUGACGUUCCCUCUCUCUCUGAGCAGCUGCUUCCUCGGCAUAAAGGUCCUUAUUGUCCUGAGCAGAGAACUCUUUUGAUUGCACAAGGAAGUCCCUUAUGUGAUUCUUGAAUGUUGGAAGGUCAUUUGUUGAAUCAAAUAGCCCACUGACAAAUUGAGUCACUUCAGCAGCGGUCAUGUUGGGGAAGGAUGUACUAAGAAGCUUAAUGGUGUAUUCGCGAACAAACUCAACAUUAUUUGGAUAUGAACAAGGCACAGUAGAAGCAUCCCAUAGAGGCUCAGACAACAUAACUACCAUGCAAAAUAAGUGCUGUAGCACCAAUACAUGCAAUUUAAACCCAGGCUUAUGAAAAGUAUCUGUCAGAACAGCAAAAAUUUCUUGCUCGAUCGUCAAAUAGUAAGUCCUAUAAAACUGGUUAGCAAACUCAGAAUUCUGAAAAUUUUUCAGCAUUGCCAACAAAAGAUUAAGCCCGGUUUCAGCAAUGUUCCUCUCAGUGUGCCGAAAAGCCCAUAUUAUAGAAUCCAUGACAAGUUUCAAUUGCUCACUCGACAGCCUUAUCAAAGCAGCAAAACAAUGUGUAGCAAUUGCACGAAGUAAUGAAAAGAACUUGAGUCGAUGCUCCGGAUAAUCUUCAAAGUUUUUUGUGAUCAUCUCCAGAGUACACUGGAAAGCAGCUUCAAAUAUUCGAGGGACAUCCUCAAUCAUUGCCCCCUUGUACUUGUUUAUAAUUGUAGCAAAAAGGGAGAGAACUUCAGAUUCCCUAGCAUCAGGCACAUUCCUUGCAUAGUCACCUAAAACUGGGUCCAUCAUUGGCGGCACAAAUUGUUUCCCAAUGUGUGAUUGAUCUUCAGCCUUGUCCAAAAAUGUUUCAAUAAGCUUAAGUGUUUCCCUUUUUACCGAGCGCAAGAGUUUCACAAUGGAUGUCCUUGAGGCAUAGGGGCCGCCUUGUGCGAUGCUUGUAGAUAUAAGCUCACUGUACAUUCUAUAGACAUUGAGCAUGUCCAAGAAGAUCAGAGAAAUUUGAGGUAAGAAAUAAGUUCCAAGUGAGCUAGCAGCACUAGUAUUUGUCUGCAAUAUAUUUAGAACAGCACGAAUAACGUCUUGAUCUUUCAGGUAGUCCACACUUUGUCGUGCUUGUCCAAUAAUUUCAUUCCAUCUCUGAUUUGGAAGCUCCAUCAACCUCUGCAGAUACUCGUCUCUUUUUUGGGGAUCAGGUUCUGCUUGAAUCAUUUGACCAACAGAUUCGUAGAAGGUAUGAAUCUGAUGAGGUUCUAAAUCUGCAAUAGUUGUGGGAAGAGUGGUUAAAAGUUCAGAAACAAAUGGCUCGUUUUCUCCAACCUGGACUACAACGAACUUGCGCUUGCAUUUUUGAACAAUUUUCAAAAACGUAUCACAGGCCAUAUCCUGCACUCCAGGAUGUGUUUCAUGCAUG